UGGGGGAUAUUGCACAAUGGGCGAAAGCCUGAUGCAGCGACGCCGCGUGGGGGAUGAAGGCUUUCGGGUUGUAAACCUCUUUCGCUAUCGAACAAGGCCCGCUUAGGGUGGGUUGAGGGUAGGUGGAGAAGAAGCGCCGGCUAACUACGUGCCAGCAGCCGCGGUAAUACGUAGGGCGCGAGCGUUGUCCGGAAUUAUUGGGCGUAAAGGGCUUGUAGGCGGCUUGUUGCGCCUGCUGUGAAAACGCGGGGCUUAACUUCGCGCGUGCAGUGGGUACGGGCAGGCUUGAGUGUGGUAGGGGUGACUGGAAUUCCAGGUGUAGCGAUGGAAUGCGCAGAUAUCUGGAGGAACACCGAUGGCGAAGGAAGGUCACUGGGCCAUUACUGACGCUGAGGAGCGAAAGCAUAGGUAGCGAACAGG
rnacentral:rRNA from 1 species